CCCAGUGAUAAACAGGUCUUUUUGGCAGGAAUUUCAAUCCAAGUCUUGUCUCCACACAUUCAACUCGAUUCAUUAUAUUUUCAUUGAAUACGUUCAGGCAGACGAGUUAGUCAUGAAGUUAUUCUUGGUUACUGUUUUGAUCUCAAUGGUCGCAGGUACCUGGGCCAUUGAGUGCUACAACUGUGGAGUUUCGGGUUGUACUGAUCCUUUCGAUUCGUCUGCAUCAGGUGUAUCGAACACUUGUCCUGGUACUAGUUUGAUUACAUACGCGUAUUGUGUGAAAACAGUCAGUGGAUCAACAGUGACACGUUUAUGUGCUCCUGCCUGUACUGAGGGCUGCGCAGGCGGUACCUGUAUCUACUGCUGCAACUCCAACCUCUGUAAUGGAGGUACCACCGUGACAACCAGCUUCGUUGCUAUGGGCGUGGCCAUGCUGGCUGCCUUCAUCCUCGCCAGACAGUAGGCUGCAGAAUAUGCAUCACGUGACCGGUGUUAUAGGAGAAAUGUACACACCAAUAUGUAUGCACUGUUUACUCAGAAUUGUGGUUAAAAGAUACUAAUCCUAGGUCUUUCUUGCAAAAGUGUGUUUAAGACGAUCGUAAUAACUUUUGAGAAAACAUCCAAAGGCAAUGUCAUUGCCUUUCUCCAUCAACAAUUGAAAUCUGCGAACAUUGCAACGAUGUACUGGAACUAAAUAAUCGGAAUAUGAUUCCUUUUGCAUACACAGUAGGGUUUUGAAUUUGCUAUUCGAAAAUUUUCUUUAAAGUCUUUGCGAUCGUGAACCUUUUAAAGUUGUGUGUUUUGUUAAUUUUAUAAUGCAUAAUCUACAUCUCUUCUUCAGUUUCUAUUCCAUUUAAAAAAUGAAAGAGAAAAUGUACAACAGUAGAUCAGUUAUACACUUAUGCAGAAUAAGUGCUUGUAAAUAAUGUCAUACUCUUUCUCUAAUAGAUUGAUUUUUAAACAUCUGCAUACUGUUUUGUAUUUUAACAAUAGAAAUUUCUUAUCGGCUUUCAAUGUUUUUCUUUCAAUUAAAGGAGAGAAGUCAAACCCCGAAACGUUGGCAUAGAUUCUUCAGAUGAUUUCUGGGAAAAUAUAGUAAUUCAAAGAUGGAGGAUGUAAGACAAUGAUUUCAAAUAAUAUUGUUCUUGAGUUGAUUUCUUGAAGGUCUUUGCAAUUGUGCUUUGUUUUAAAAGGGAUUAUCUUCAGAAACAAGUUCAAGUAAACAAGUUCAAGAAUAUGCUUGGAAGCAAUCAGCUAUACAAUUUGAAAUCUCAUUUCCUCUUCGAAAUCCUUGCUAAAAUUAACAAAAUUUGUCAAAAUUACAUUUUUACCUGAAACUAAAUUAAGAAAAGCAUAAAAAAGGAUUAUCAUAUAUGUAGGUUCAUGUGAUUUUUUCUGAUUACAUCGAGAAGAAGCCAAUGUUUAUCCUUUUGUGAUUUAGACCCUAAGAAUGUUAAGACUAAUAAUAAAACUUUUCUUUUGUUUUUAAAUUGUAUUAAUUAUGGACUCAUUUUCCUUCAUAAACAAUCAAGUUAAAAUACGCGGAAGGUUAUAGUGCUAAAUAUAAAUCCACAAUAUUAAUGUGUAAGGUUAAUUAUUUCAAGAUGAAGAAACACAAAAGCAAUUUGUGCCAUAUUGUCAUCAUAAUCUUUGUUAUUAUAUGAAAAUCUGUCACUAUGCCUUUAGGAUUACCAAAUUAUCAUACCUUAAGAUCUAGAAAAGCAUUAUGUAUAUCUAAUACCCGGUGCACACCACACGAUGUGAUUACGAUCUGAUUCUGGAAGAAUUUGUGAUGGAAUCUUUAUAUUAACAUUCAAACAUUAGAAAUAUUAAUGACCGAGGAUCUGAAUAGUAAUAUGAUUUGACAAAAUCUAAAUUUCAAGAGAUUUCAUGCUCCCUUUAAGGAGUGGAAAACCCUGAAUCGGCAAGGAAUCGUAGUGACGUCAAGGCAGUAGUACGAUUGUCUACGAUUUAAAGCAGAUUCGGCUAUUAUUCUAACUAUAAGAGACUAAUGCACUAAGAUUGCAGUUGUUAAUAUUCUUAUCGUUAUUCAAAACCUAAAUCAAGAGGAUAGUGGUUGCUUUUUCUAUAUCAUAAUACACCCGCCUUUACUACGUAAAUCGGAUCACAGGAGAAUCGUGUAGUGCGCGCUGGGCUUAAAAGUUAAUUAGAUAACGGUCUUCCAGCUCUCAAUAGACGUACCGUUCAGUGUGAUAACAUAACAUGUAGUGCUAAGGAAUAAUAGGGAAAAGAUGAAAAUAUUAUAUUACAAAUACAUCUUUGUCAAAACAGCAUUUCCCGCUAAAUGACCUUUUCAAUGCAUGUUUGUUUCUUAACGAUUCUUUUAGCUAUGUUGGUUUAAAGUUCAAUAUUAACUAUGAAUAGAUCAUUCCUCGUUGUGUUUGAAUAGUAAAUGUUGAGGGUAGGUUUUUGUUUAUAUUGACUCAGAGUUUCUCUAGUCAAUAUAUUUUUCACCCUUUUUAUAAUUUUCUUUUAAUUAAACAUAUCAAUUACUUCUACCUUGUUUUACUUCCGUGGACAUGGUUUUGUGUCAUUUUACCAAUUAAUGGUUGUUACGAACAGGGAAGUCGGUUUAACCAAUUUGUUGACUCUCGAUUCUCGGUGGAAUUGCGGAUUAAAAAUGCAAAACGA